UAGCAAUGGAACAGAUAUAGAUGCUGGAUUUGCUAGCACUAGAAGACGUCAAUGUCCUCAAGAAGAUCAAAAUGGAAACCUAGCUCCACUUGAUUUGGUUACACCUAAUCAAUUGGACAACAACUACUUCAAGAACUUGAGGCAAAGAAAAGGUCUUCUUCAAUCGGAUCAAGUUCUUUUGAGUGGAGGAUCUACCGAUGAUAUUGUCAUAGAAUAUAGCAAUAGCCCUCGCGCAUUUGCCUCUGAUUUUGCUGCAGCCAUGAUUAAAAUGGGAGAUAUCAGUCCCUUAACUGGUCAAAAUGGGAUCAUAAGAACUGUUUGUAGCUCUAUAAAUUGAUUUAACUUGUCAAAAGCCUAGCUAUUACUCAUAAGAUAUCUAAAUGUAUUCAUAUUCAUUUGAUUCUAUUCCUUUGUAUUGUUUUAAGAUGAAAUAAAAUCUUUGUUAUGUCGUCUUUCCAAAGAUUUCUUUGAAAUAUUCAAAUAAUCAAUAACUACUCUUUUAAAAUAAAUUGUCUCUAUUGAAAAUGAAAUUUCCCUUAAAAUACCUUUUUUUUUUGGCUUUGAUAUUUCAUUAUUUUAUCCUACAAGUAGAUAUCAUCAAAUAAUCAUUGGAAUGAAUGGUCGUACACCUCUGUCCCUUUCCCAAAAUAGUUAAGAGGAAAGAGAAACUAUAGAAGGACAAUGGAAACACAAAUGAUGUAUGAUCACUAAGGUCUAAAUAUAUUAGAAAAUACAUGCUAGAAUUCAUAUGAUUACGUUAGAACAUAUAAAUUUGCUAAUUUUAAUAAAAUAUCUUUGAACAGAAGUCCGACUCCAAUUCUAUAUAUAGUCUUCUAUAGUGAUUUCAAAAUUUGUUGCUGAACUCUUUCAAUAUGUGUGUGGACAAGUAUAUAUUAUGAGAAAAUCUAUAUGUUUUCUAGGUUAGGAAGAUGCAUAUAUAUAGGCAAAAAGAGUUACUUAAUUUUCUUCUCUAUCAAGAAGUAAAAUUUUGAGUCAUAAUUAUUAAAUAUGACACAAUAUGAAUCCGUUAAUCAAUUAUUAAGGCUCUCUAUCGUGAAAAUAAUUCAAAAUUUUGAUUUGAAAUAUUCUUAUCAUAAUAAAUGCUCAUAAAAUACUUUACUAGAAAUUCCGAAUGUUUAUAUAAAUUAUAGUGCAAUUAUUUUAAACUUGAUAUUUAUUUCAAAUCAAGUAAUUUAAUAUUAAUAAUUAAGUUAAACAAAAAUUCUAUAUAAUUUUGAAAUGCAUUGAAUUUUAUUUGAAAUAAUUAAAAUUUAAAAUGAGAAUAUAUAGUAUUAACGGUUUCAUCAUGCAUAAUAUAUUCUACGUAUGCUUGCUAGCUGGAGCUUCACUAAUUCUUUUUCUAUUUUUGUAAAAUGAUAUAAGCAUAGUUGACUUUCAACGUAAAUACGGAAUGACCAAAUCUAUGUUAUUAGAAAAUGACAUUCAUGCCGUUAUAAUAGAAAAAUUAAAAAUAUUUGAUUCAUGAACUAUCCUAGCAUGACAAAACCUAGGAAUACGUAAUACAUCACAAAAGAUGGAAUUAAAAUUUUAAAUUUAUAAAUUGUGUUUGGUACGAAAAAAAAUAUUUUCAUGAAAAUAUAUUGAUUUCUUUUUUCAUAUUUAGUUGGUGAGUGAAAAAGUGAUAAAGUUCAUAUAGUGACGAUAAACUUCUGAUCGAUUUAAAUUUUGUGGAAAAGGGGGAAUGGGUUAGGGGGUGAGGUAAGGGAAGUUUUGAAAUCUUUUAUAAAGACAAAUUUUAUAAAAUUUACUUUUUUUUUUUAAUGGAAGUGGGGAAGGGUUAGGGUGGGGGUGAAAAAACUAAAAUUUCAAGUGUGGAGUUCGGAGAAGGAGUGGAGUAAAAAAAAUAUUUACAUAAUUUAAAAUAUUUUUUAAGAAAUUUUAAUUAUUUUUAUAAUCAAGACAAUUGUAUUUGGUGAUGAUAUCAUACAUUAUACAUAGAAACUUACGCGUAUCAACACCUAUCUCCACUGCAAGAGUAAAAGUUUUGCUAACUUCAUAUGGAAACUUAGUUAUUCUUUCAUAUCAAAUACGCUCUAGACUUUUGAUAUAAAUUAUUCAUAUAUACUAAAUAAAUAUUUUAUAUAAAUAUAAAAUUAAAAUUAUUGAAUUUCAUCAAACUCGUAAAUAUCAUUUAGCUCAGCUCCGCACAUGGUACGGAUCCAUUUCACCUACUCACAACAAUAAGUAGCUAAUUAGAAUAAGUCAAAAAGUAGCAAUAACGCGGAAGACAAUAUUUUGGCAGCCAAUAGUGACCAAAUAGCUUUAAAAUAACGUGUUUCUAUGCCUAUAAAUAUUUGAGUGCCACAUUCCCUCAACGCAUCACAAAACUAGUAACCAUCUAUAGUUCUUGAUAUAUCAUACAUCAACUUACUUUGCAUUUUCAAAAUGAGUAUUUCAAACAACUCUUUUCUUGCUAUAUUUUCUCUUCUUUUACUCUUUAACAUGCAAUGCCAUGCACAACUUUCUUCCACAUUCUAUGACAGAACUUGCCCUAAUGCUCUCAACACGAUCCGUACGAGUGUGAGACAAGCAGUGUCACGUGAACGUCGCAUGGCUGCAUCUCUUAUCCGUCUUCAUUUUCACGAUUGCUUUGUUCAGGUUAUUGGCUAAACGUUCUAGAUCUAUGUGCUUCAAGUUAGAAAUCACGAUUCAUUUGAUUUGGCAAUGUACUAAUUAUUUGUGUGACUUUGACUUUAGGGUUGUGAUGCUUCUAUCUUACUUGAUGAGACCCCUACAAUUGUCAGUGAGAAGACUGCUCUGCCGAAUCUUGGAUCAGUUAGGGGCUAUGGUAUUAUAGAAGAUGCAAAAAGAGAGCUUGAGAAAACAUGUCCAGGAGUCGUAUCAUGUGCUGACGUACUUGCAGUUGCUGCUAGGGAUGCAUCAGCUCUCGUAAGUGUUCAUAGUUUGAUUUUCAUUUUCCACACUUUUAUGUCAUAUAUAAAUAAGGUGUUGUCGAAUACUAACAAGUAUUAUGUUAAUAAUAAUCAGGUUGGAGGUCCAUCAUGGACAGUGAAACUUGGAAGAAGAGAUUCAACCACUGCAAGUCAUACUCUUGCUGAAACUGAUCUUCCUGGUCCUUUUGAUCCUCUUGAUAGGCUCAUUUCUGGCUUUGCCAACAAGGGUCUUAGCACUAGGGAUAUGGUUGCUUUAUCAGGUAAAAAUUGAUCAAACUAUUGAACAUAUAAAAUCUCAUCAAUCAUAAUAAUUCUAACAAUUUCUAUUUUUUGAAUCUAGGAGCACAUUCAAUAGGUCAAGCACAAUGCUUCCUCUUCCGCGAUAGGAUUUAUAGCAAUGGAACAGACAUUGAUGCUGGAUUUGCUAGCACUAGAAGACGUCAAUGUCCUCAAGAAGAUCAAAAUGGAAACCUAGCUCCACUUGAUUUGGUAACACCUAAUCAAUUGGACAAUAACUACUUCAAGAACUUGAGGCAAAGAAAAGGUCUUCUUCAAUCAGAUCAAGUUCUUUUGAGUGGAGGAUCUACCGAUGAUAUUGUCAUAGAAUAUAGCAAUAGCCCUCGCGCAUUUGCCUCUGAUUUUGCUGCUGCCAUGGUUAGAAUGGGAGAUAUUAGUCCUCUAACAGGUCAAAAUGGUAUCAUAAGAACUGUUUGUGGCUCUAUAAAUUGAUAUUUCAAAAGCCUAUACUACUUGUAUGUUUUUCCAAGUUUAUUUGUAUUCUUUUGAUUCUUUUUCUAUGUUGUAUUAUUUCGGAAAUGAAUAAAAUCUUCGUUAUGUUUUAAGUUAGUAGUAAAGUUCUAGCUAAUGACUUGGAUCCAAUUUAAUACAUAAUCACACAAAUCUUUUGAUAUACAUAAAAUGGUAAUUUAAUAAUAAUGAAAACUAAUAUGUUAUCACAAUUUAAUGGUUAUUCAUAAUAUAAAUAAUUUUUCAUACUAUCAGCAUAUAUAAUACUAUUAAAAUAAAAUUUUUGGGUAACUUUAGAUCAAGAUUUAUAUUAUUGUAAUUUCUUUUUAAAUUUACCUGAUCAUGAUUUCAAACACUAAAGUGGUAAAGUUUUAAAUCGAUAACAUAUCAAAAUAAUUAAAAAAUAUAUUAAUAAAUAGCGAUUAAUGUAGUCAUCAUAUAAAAAUGAAUUAAAAUGAGUAUCUCUUUCGUAAUAUAUGUUAUUGAGCAUGGAAAAAGAAAUGUUCUCCUAAAAUAAUAUUAAAUGACUUUGACAUUUCAUUAUUUUAUCCAAUAAAGUAAAUAUCAUCAAAUCAUUGAAAUCAGAGGUCAAUAUCAAAGACUUGAUGAUGUAUGACUAUAUAAAUAAUUAUUAAAAAAAAAAACAAAAAAGACUUUGUAAAGGAAGCUGAUCAUUAGAAAAAGAAAAACUUUUAAUUUAUAUAAUACCCAAAUUUGACAAAUGUGAAUUCUUUUGACAUUAAAGUAUUAGAUGCUGUCCUUUUUGUUUAUUUUUAAUCAUUCCACAGUCCAAUUUUUACAGCGUGGUGUUCUACACAAGUUGCCUUGCAACCACUUUCAUUGAUUUAAAAAAAUUAAAAAUAUAAAAAAGUAAAUAUGUGAAGAAAUUUAAAAAUUUAAUAUCUACCAUAUAAAUAUUAAAAAUAUUUUCAAUUUCACAUACACAUACAUGCAUAUAAUUGAUAUAUUUUUUGAAAUCUCAAAUUUGAAAAAUAAAUUUGAGGAGUAUUUCAAGUUUCAUUCUUAAAUUUAGAUUUUUUUUUUCAUUCCACCUAAAAUUCAUGUCUAAACACAAUACUUAUUUUUACAACUUCACCGCCGUACAUGUAUCAUUUUAGGGUGAUUUUGUUGGAAUGUUGGCCAUAACUUUCAUGGAUGUGACCAUAACAUUCCAUGGAUGUGCUCUGUAAUUAACUUUCAUAACCUCCAUAGAUGUAGUUUGUAAUUUCCAUGGAAGUUGCAAUUAUAACUACAUCCACUACCUACGGAAGUUACCUACAACUACAUCUAUGACUCCUUAACUAGUAUCCCACGACUUCACUACUCCCACUAACUUCCCACGACUAUUCUUGAUAGUAGAAAUGCUUAUAAAUAGGAAACAUAUUUGGUUAAAAUUUUCUAAGCACAAAUCUCUCUCUAAACUCUACACCAUCCGGAGUGAGGUUUGAGUGUCGGUGAAAAACAAACGACGCAACGAUUCCAACUACAUUACUAACAAUGACUAAAGAUAUAUCUAUCUACUAUUCCUCUGCGCUAUUGCUCUAUUUUUCCUUACAAAUAUACUAAAUAAAUUAAAGUAAGUACUCUAGAAAUUGAAAAAUUAAUAUGAAUAAUAAAUAUUAUACCCUAGAAAGUUUCUUAAAAUGUUAAAUCAUUGUAAUACUAAAAUUUACUUACCAAGUUAACUUUGAGAUUAACGCUGUGUAGCAGCCAAUAGUGACCAAAGUAAUUAACUUAUUAUGUUCACAUUUAAUCAAACUAUUUUAAUUAUAAUAAAUAAGAAUCAUAGUACAACUAACAUAUAUAUUUAUUUAAAGUGUAUUGGAUCUUAUAUUAUUCUUGAGUUUGUAUAAUAAUAAAACAAGAGAAAAUAUAUUGUAAUGAGGUUUCAAUUCACGUAUUGUGUGUAACGAUAUGCUUCACUACUUUUUGUUAUCAAAGUUCGAUUUUAAUUCUAUUAUUAUAAUGAUAUAUUUAGUUGACCUUUGACUUUCAACAUAAUGCCAAAUCUAUGUUAUUCGAAAAUGACAUUAAUGCCAUUAGUUGUAAUACAAAAAUUUAAGUUGAUAUGUAGUCAAAAUUAAUUUAUAAAAAAAAUUUAGUAAAAUAUUUUUUAAAAUAUAUAUUUUUAUUUGAAACUUUAUAUAGUUAUAAUAAAAUAAAAAUAGUUAGGUUUAUUUAAAACAUAAAGAAUUACCAAAAAUUAAAUAAAGAAAUUAAAACGUAGUAAAAUUUGAGCUAUUCUGCUUUAUGACUUAUUUUAGUCAAACUCAUUUUAAUCCAAAUAACUUUAUCUAUUACAUUUAUUAACUCAUAUCAUAUUGACCCGUCUGAAUUCAAUCUACCGACCAUCCCUUUGAUACUCCUAAAUUUGAGUCAAAAUUAUUGAACUCUACCAAUCUCGUAUUUAUCAUAUUCGUUUCACCUAACACAAUUGGAAGCUAUAAGAAUAUCACGGAAAGAGGGUUCUUAUUAAUAUUAAUGAGGUCAUAUAUAACCGCGCAAAGUGCGAGGAGAUUACCUAGUUAUAAUAUAUAAGAACUAAAGUAGAAAACCAUAUAUAUUUAUUUAUUAUGACAAGGAAAAUCUACAGCCAAUACCCUUUGGGUGCGCACAACGUAAAUUUUCACUCCUAAAUAAUAGCUCGUAAAUCACAUAAAAACGACAAUCCGCAUUAGACAAGUUCGGUGCAAGGAGCUCGACCCAAAAGACAAAUUCCUUGCUUUUAAGAUCUCCGACAUGAACAUUAUUCUCGAGUGUAUAAUUAUAAAAAUUUAAGCGAAAAUAUGUUGUAAUUAAUGUAUAAUGUUGCACAAUAUGCAUGCUUGCUAGCUGGUGCUUCACUACUUCUUCUUAUCAAAGUUCGAUUUUAAUUCUAUUAUUACAAUGAUAUAUUUCGUUGACCUUUGACUUUCAACAUAAUGCCCAAAUCUAUGUUAUUCCAAAAUGACAUUCAUGCCAUUAGUUGCACAAGUUAAGCUGAUAACGAAAUUGAUAAAUAAAAAUUUUUAUUUAAACAUUUUUAAAUGUAUAUUGUUAUUAUUUUAUAUAAUAUAUUAUAUAGUUAUAUUAAAAAAAUAAUCGCUAUUAAGAACAUAAAGAAUUACAUAAAAAAUAAACAAGAAAACUACAACUUGGUAAAAUUUGAGCAAAUCUAUAUUUUGACAUAUUUUAGUCAAACUCAUUUUAAUCCAAAUAACUUUACCUACUAUUUAUUAACUCAUACCGUAUUAGAACAAGUCAUAGGAAGACAAAAUAGCAAUAACGCGGAAGACAGUUGGAAGCCAAUAGUGACCAAAAAGCUUUAAAAUAACAUGUUUUUAUGCCUAUAAAUAUUUGAGUGCCACAUUCCCUCAUCGCAUCACAAACCUAAUAACCAUCUAUAUUUCUCAUACAUCAACAUAUAUAAUUUUGCAUUUUCAAAAUGAGUAUUUCAAACAACUCAUUUCUUGCUAUAUUUUCUCUUCUUUUACUCUUUAGCAUGCAAUGCCAUGCACAACUUUCUUCCACAUUCUAUGACAGAACUUGCCCUAAUGCUCUCAACACGAUCCGUACAAGUGUGAGACAAGCAGUGUCACGUGAACGUCGCAUGGCUGCAUCUCUUAUCCGUCUUCAUUUUCACGAUUGCUUUGUUCAGGUUGGUUAGACUAUGAUAUCUUUUUCUAGCUCUAUGUACUAAUUAAUUCAUGUUAGAAAUCAUUCGUUUGAUUUGAUAAUGUACUAAUUGAUUUGUAACUAUAAUUUUAGGGUUGUGAUGCUUCUAUCUUACUUGAUGAGACACCUACGAUCGUCAGUGAAAAGACUGCAUUGCCAAAUCUUGGGUCAGUUAGAGGGUAUGGUAUUAUAGAAGAUGCAAAAAGAGAACUUGAGAAAACAUGUCCAGGAGUCAUAUCAUGUGCUGACAUACUUGCAGUUGCUGCUAGGGAUGCAUCUACUCUCGUAAGUAUCCCCUAAGUUGAAUAUCUUUUCUUCAAAGGAAAAACUUGUUUAUGCUAUAAGAAAGAUGUUAUCCAAAACUAACCAAUAUUACGCUAAUAAUAAUCAGGUUGGAGGUCCAUCAUGGACAGUGAAACUUGGAAGAAGAGAUUCAACCACUGCAAGUCAUACUCUUGCUGAAACUGAUCUUCCUGGUCCUUUUGAUCCUCUUGAUAGGCUCAUUUCUGGCUUUGCCAAUAAAGGCCUUAGCACAAGGGAUAUGGUUGCUUUAUCAGGUAAAAAUAUAAUUGAUCAAAUGAUUAUUGAACAUAUAAGAUUAUAUCGAUCAUAAUAUUUGUAUAGACAAGAAGUUCUAAUGAUUUCUAUUUUUUGAAUCUAGGAGCACAUUCAAUAGGUCAAUCACAAUGCUUCCUCUUCCGCGAUAGGAUCUAUAGCAAUGGAACAGAUAUAGAUGCUGGAUUUGCUAGUACUAGAAGACGUCGAUGUCCUCAAGAAGACCAAAAUGGAAACCUAGCUCCACUUGAUUUGGUUACACCUAAUCAAUUGGACAACAACUACUUCAAGAACUUGAGGCAAAGAAAAGGUCUUCUUCAAUCAGAUCAAGUUCUUUUGAGUGGAGGAUCUACCGAUGAUAUUGUCAUAGAAUAUAGCAAUAGCCCUCGCGCAUUUGCCUCUGAUUUUGCAGCAGCCAUGAUUAAAAUGGGAGAUAUUAGUCCUCUAACAGGUCAAAAUGG
rnacentral:lncRNA from 1 species